UGACGAUUCCUCCACUCUCAAUUACAACAACGGAUAGUAUUAUCAUUCCCAUUCAGAUUGAUACUCUCUCAUUGAGAUUCAUGCACAGGUCUUAAUGUGGGAGGAGUCGCUGGUGGAGGCGCGUGCGUCCCAGAUGUGGAGAGUGCGGUCAUUGGAGGCGAAGUAGAUGUAGUGGGAGUUGGAGCACCAGGCGAGGUCGGAGGCAAAGCAGAUGUAGUGGGAUUUCUUUUAUGUUAAAGUGUUUGGGAAAGUGUUUGGUUAAUGAGAAAAUCUGAGGGAGAGUGAGACUGAGGACCGAAUGUUUAGGCUUAGAAAUCUAGAGGAUAUACUGUUUAUUUAGUUUUAGAUUUUAGAAGGGUUUAGUGGGUUUAUUUAAUUUUAAA